rnacentral:rRNA from 1 species
UACGGAGGGGGCAAGCGUUGUUCGGAUUUACUGGGCGUAAAGGGUGUGUAGGCGGCUGCGCAAGUCUGGUGUGAAAUCUUCACCGCUCAACGGGAAGCGUGCACUGGAAACUGCGUAGCUCGAGUAUGGUAGAGGCAAGCGGAAUUCCUGGUGUAGCGGUGGAAUGUGUAGAUAUCAGGAAGAACACCGGUGGCGAAGGCGGCUUGCUGGGCCAUCACUGACGCUGAGACACGAAAGCGUGGGGAGCAAACGGG